rnacentral:lncRNA from 1 species
UUUUUUCCUCGCUUAUUUAAUUGUAUUGUUCAUUACUUAAUAUUAUUAAACUGUGAGAAAUUUUUUUAACAAAUUAUCAGUUUAAUAUAAUACAAUGUAAAUUUGUAUUACUCUUGAAAUUUAACUUGAGGGGUUGCUCUGAUGGUAAGCAACCUCCACUUCCAACCGAGAGGUUGUGAGUUCGAGUCUCCCCAAGAGCAAGGUGGGAAGUUCUUGGAGGGAAGGAUGCCGGGGUCUAUUCGGAAACAGCCUCUCUACCCCAGGGUAGGGGUAAGGUCUGUUGGUGUUUGCUUGACUUUUUGUUUUGUUUUAUAAACAACAAGUUGUUCAGAUUUUGAAGUAAGACCCAACUUAAUCUCUCUUUUUUCAAAAAUAAAUCGACAAUACCUUCAAUCGCAAUUCUCCAAGAC